UGGGGUGUAGUUCAGUAGCAGAGCAUGUGCCUAGCAUGUAUAUGGCCCUGGGUUCAAUCCUAGCACCAAAA
rnacentral:tRNA from 1 species